ACUGAAUAGAUACCCCGGUAGUCCACGCCGUAAACGUUGGGCGCUAGGUGUGGGGCUCUUUCCACGAGUUCCGUGCCGCAGCAAAAACGCAUUAAGCGCCCCGCCUGGGGAGUACGGCCGCAAGGCUAAAACUCAAAGGAAUUGACGGGGGCCCGCACAAGCGGCGGAGCAUGCGGAUUAAAUUCGAUGCAACGCGAAGAACCUUACCAAGGCUUGACAUACGCAGAAAACCGGCAGAGAUGUCGGGUCCGUAAGGGCUGUGUACAGGUGGUGCAUGGUUGUCGUCAGCUCGUGUCGUGAGAUGUUGGGUUAAGUCCCGCAACGAGCGCAACCCUCGUUCCAUGUUGCCAGCACGUAAUGGUGGGGACUCAUGGGAGACUGCCGGGGUCAACUCGGAGGAAGGUGGGGAUGACGUCAAAUCAUCAUGCCCCUUAUGUCUUGGGCUUCACGCAUGCUACAAUGGCCAGUACAAAGGGCUGCGAGACCGUAAGGUGGAGCGAAUCCCAAAAGCUGGUCUCAGUUCGGAUCGGGGUCUGCAAC
rnacentral:rRNA from 1 species